rnacentral:rRNA from 1 species
GACGGAGGGUGCAAACGUUGUUCGGAAUCACUGGGCAUAAAGCGCACGUAGGCGGUCUGGUCAGUCAGGUGUGAAAGCCCUCGGCUCAACCGAGGAAUCGCACUUGAUACUGCCAGACUGGAGAGAGGUAGGGGUAAGCGGAACUCCAGGUGGAGCGGUGAAAUGCGUAGAUAUCUGGAGGAACACCGGUGGCGAAAGCGGCUUACUGGACCUCUUCUGACGCUGAGGUGCGAAAGCUAGGGUAGCGAAC